rnacentral:tRNA from 1 species
GGGGAUGUGGCCCAGUGGUAGAGUGCUUGUCUCAUAUGUAUGAGGUUCCAGGUUCAGUUCCUAGCACCCCA